UACAGAGGGUGCGAGCGUUGUCCGGAAUCACUGGGCUUAAAGGGCGCGUAGGCGGGCUGCCGCGUCCGGGGUGAAAUCCCACGGCUCAACCGUGGAACGGCCCCGGGUACGGGCGGCCUCGAGGAAGGUAGGGGCGUGCGGAACUGUGGGUGGAGCGGUGAAAUGCGUUGAUAUCCACAGGAACUCCGGUGGCGAAGGCGGCACGCUGGACCUUUUCUGACGCUGAGGCGCGAAAGCCAGGGGAGCGAACGGG
rnacentral:rRNA from 1 species